rnacentral:rRNA from 1 species
GAUGAACGCUAGCUACAGGCUUAACACAUGCAAGUCGAGGGACCGUCGCACGGGUGAGUAACACGUAUCAAACCUGCCCUUUACUCGGGGCUAGCCUUUCGAUAGCAAGAUUAAUACCCGAUAUAAAGGAUGGGGAUGCGUGCCAGUAGGUUGUUGGGGAGGUAACGGCUCUCCAAGCCUUUGAUGGAUAGAGGUUCUGAGAGUAAGGUCCCCUACAUUGUAACUGAGACACGGUCCAAACUCCUACGGGAUGCAGCAGUGAGGAAUAGUGGGCAUUGGGCGCUAGCCUGACCCAGCCAAGUAGCGUGAAGGAUGAAGGUUUAUGGGUCGUAAACUUCUUUUAUAUAAGAAUAUGUAUUAUAUGAAUAAGGAUCGGCUAACUCCGUGCCAGCGGCCGCGGUAAUAC